rnacentral:tRNA from 1 species
UCUCCGGCUGGGAGGUGGUGGACGCCCCGGCGCUGCAAGCGCUGCGGGAGCGGCUGUCCGAGCACGGGGUGGCGUUCAAGGAGGCCACCAAGGAG